GAUGAACGCUGGCGGCGUGCUUAACACAUGCAAGUCGAACGGGAAACCUUUUAUUGAAGCUUCGUCAGAUUUAGCUGGUUUCUAGUGGCGGACGGGUGAGUAACGCGUGGUUAACCUUCCCUAUACAGGUGGAUAACAACCAGAAAUGGUUGCUAAUACCGCAUAAGCGCACAGGGCCGCAUUUUCCGUUUUGCAAAACUCCGGUGGUAUAGGAUGGACCCGCGUUGGAUUAGCCAGUUGGCCGGGUAACGGCCUACCAAAGCGACGAUCCAUAGCCGGACUGAGAGGGUGAACGGCCACAUUGGGACUGAGACACGGCCCAGACUCCUACGGGAGGCAGCAGUGGGGAAUAUUGCACAAUGGGGGAAACCCUGAUGCAGCGACGCCGCGUGAAGGAAGAAGUAUCUCGGUAUGUAAACUUCUAUCAGCAGGGAAGAUAGUGACGGUACCUGACUAAGAAGCCCCGGCUAACUACGUG
rnacentral:rRNA from 1 species